rnacentral:rRNA from 1 species
UACGUAGGGCGCAAGCGUUGUCCGGAAUUAUUGGGCGUAAAGAGCUCGUAGGCGGUUCAGUAAGUCGGGUGUGAAACUUUGGGCUUAACCCAAAGCGUGCAUCCGAUACUGCUGUGACUUGAGUUCGGUAGGGGAGUGGGGAAUUCCUAGUGUAGCGGUGAAAUGCGCAGAUAUUAGGAGGAACACCGGUGGCGAAGGCGCCACUCUGGGCCGAACUGACGCUGAGGAGCGAAAGCGAGGGGAGCGUACG